UGAAGAGGUGCAUGAGAAGGUGUGAUGCA
rnacentral:piRNA from 1 species